AACACACUUUCUUAUACGAGAUGAUUUUGGCACCUUUGUGUUUUAACAUUUCUGGAAUUGUUGAGCCGAAACCCGCACAUUGUGGGGAGAAAAUCCCUGAAACCCUUUCGAAUUCGAGUAAUAGAUCUCCAUGAUCGAAAAUGCGAACCAUUAGCAGAGUAUUUAUAAUAGGAAAUGGCGUCGCCGGUGCAGAAAAUCAGUGCUUCGGUUUGGUUCGAGCUUUGGGCUUAUCGCAUCGACAAACACUAUUUCGAGUUAUUAGGCCAAAAGGAGGUAUUAACAAGCGACUUCAGUGGUUGCCUGUUUCUCUCCAUAAAAGGUUAGAAAAUGUCAGGAGGUUGAUUUAUGGAGAUCCACUUCCAACUCAAAUAGCAGUCAGAGGACAUAAAUUGUUGUCUCUUGCUGCCGAAAGACAGGUUUCUUCAGAUAUCCUAGAAGCUAAUGCAAAAUAUAUUGCAGCACUAUCCUGUGAAGCAUUUGCCAAGGAUGGUCCAUCAUUAGUAGUCGCAUCAGGUCGUGAUACUAUCUCCAUUUCAAGCUCAAUAAAACAGUUAGCUCCAGAAUAUGUUUUCACUGUGCAGAUUCAACAUCCCAGAUCACGUCUAAAUAGGUUUGACCUAGUGAUCACACCUCGUCAUGAUUAUUAUCCUUUGACACCUGAGGGACAAAAACAAAUUCCUUGGUUUCUUCGAAGGUGGAUAACCCCUCGCACAUCUCCUGAGAGACACGUGAUACUGACUGUUGGAGCCCUUCAUCAAGCUGAUUCUAAUGCGCUGAAGGAUGCAGCUGACACUUGGCACGAUGAGUUAGCAACUAUACCAAAACCUUUGCUUGUGGUUAAUGUUGGAGGGCCUACAGGUCAUUGUAGAUAUGGUACAGACCUAGCAGUGGAGCUAACAGCCUUGCUUCUGAAUAUUGUUCCAACCUGUGGGAGCAUCAGAGUAUCUUUUUCUCGUAGAACUCCUAGUAAGGUCUCAGACAUCAUAUGGAAAGAGCUUGGAAAUCAUCCUAAAGUUCACAUUUGGAACGGUCAAGGUCCAAAUCCACAUAUGGGACAUUUGGCUUUUGCAGAUGCUUUUGUUAUUACUGCUGACUCAGUUAGUAUGUUAAGCGAGGCUUGCAGUACGGGGAAACCUGUUUAUGUAAUUGGUGCUGAGCGAUGUACGUGGAAAUUCAGAGACUUCCAUCAAUCCUUGAAAAAUCGAGGAGUGGUUCGUCCAUUCCUUGGAAAAGAAGAUAUAUCUGAAAGUUGGAGCUAUAGUCCCCUGAAUGAUACUAAGGAGGCUGCUGCGCAUGUGAUUACCGCACUAGCCGAACGAGGAUGGCGAUUGCCAUCAUAAUUUCUACUCUACUAAAGUAGUAGUAGUAAAUUGAUCCAGGUAUGUCGAGGGUCUACUGGAAACAACCUCACAAAGAUGUGACUGUUUAAACUGGAUAAAUGACAACUCCCUAUGAUUUCGAGAAGAUUUGAGAAAUAUAAUUUCUUUUGAUAGCUAAUUAAUUGUUGUACUCCCAAAAAGGAACUUGUAUAGGCUACUUUAGAUUGUUAGAUCAAUCUCUUUUGUUCGUUAGAGGCAAGCUGGUUCAUGUCCCCCUUUAAUCUUUUGUAAGUAUUUCUACUUAAUUAUGUUUUACAUGGUAAGGGUCUAGCCAAACCCCCCACAAUCCUAGACUCACAACCUAUUGGUGAUGGCUUCGUUAAAAAAAUAAUAAUCUUUGUAUAAGAAAAAUAUUUUUUAGAAUGAAGAAAAACUUUUAUAUCUUGUUGUCA